ACACACAUUGGAUUCACUCGGAAAUAGCCCACACAUUAUAUACAGUAUUUACUUUUAUUGCAGUUGGAAGUGCUUUCGUACUCCUCCCCCCCGACCCCACCACCACAGUUUUACGCUAUUGGGAAGGGAGCCGGAAGUACGUUACUGGGCUGGUACGCGUAGUAAUUAACUUCCGCUCAACAGAUGACCUGUCUGCAGAGAUGGUCCAAAACCAGCAGCUCACUCCAGCAACUCUGCAGGAGAACCAUCUGGUCCUCCACCUGUGAGAAGCUGAGCAAGAAAGGCGGAGUGGGCACUGCAGGCGGCCAGGGAGCCGACCAUGCCUGGGGGCUGCAGUGGCGGCGGGGCGGGCGG